rnacentral:rRNA from 1 species
AACGAACGCUGGCGGCGUGGAUAAGACAUGCAAGUCGAACGGGGUUGUUUGUGUAGCAAUACAUCGACAACCUAGUGGCGAACGGGUGCGUAACACGUGAGCAAUUUGCCGGGAAGUGGGGAUAGCUCGCCGAAAGGCGAAUUAAUACCGCAAGUGGGCAGAGGGGACAUCCCUUCGCACCCAAAGUCGCAAGACGCUGCCUGAUGAGCUCGCGGCCUAUCAGCUUGUUGGUGAGGUAACGGCUCACCAAGGCUAUGACGGGUAGCUGGUCUGAGAGGACGACCAGCCACACUGGAACUGAGACACGGUCCAGACACCUACGGGUGGCAGCAGUCGAGAAUUUUUCACAAUGGGGGCAACCCUGAUGGAGCGACGCCGCGUGGAGGAUGAAGGUCUUCGGAUUGUAAACUCCUGUCUUGCGAGAACAAGAAAGUGAUAGUAUCGCAAGAGGAAGAGACGGCUAACUCUGUGCCAGCCGCCGCCGUAA